rnacentral:tRNA from 1 species
UGGGAUAUAGCUCAGUUGGUAGAGUGCUUGUCUUGCAUGCAUAAGGAAGGCCCUGGGUUCAAUCCCCAGCACCACAC